rnacentral:rRNA from 1 species
GACGAACGCUGGCGGUGUGCUUAACACAUGCAAGUCGAACGGAAAGGCCCUGCUUUUGUGGGGUGCUCGAGUGGCGAACGGGUGAGUAACACGUGAGUAACCUGCCCUUGACUUUGGGAUAACUUCAGGAAACUGGGGCUAAUACCGGAUAGGAGCUCCUGCUGCAUGGUGGGGGUUGGAAAGUUUCGGCGGUUGGGGAUGGACUCGCGGCUUAUCAGCUUGUUGGUGGGGUAGUGGCUUACCAAGGCUUUGACGGGUAGCCGGCCUGAGAGGGUGACCGGCCACAUUGGGACUGAGAUACGGCCCAGACUCCUACGGGAGGCAGCAGUGGGGAAUAUUGCACAAUGGGCGGAAGCCUGAUGCAGCAACGCCGCGUGCGGGAUGACGGCCUUCGGGUUGUAAACCGCUUUCGCCUGUGACGAAGCGUGAGUGACGGUAAUGGGUAAAGAAGCACCGACUAACUACGUG